CCUACAUUUCCCUUGGUGCAGGGGGAUCCUCAUGCUACCAUUGAUUAACGGGCUGAGCAUUGGAGAAGUCUUAUAAGCUGUUAUGUAUUCAGUCCUGUCCUGCAAAAUGACGGUGACAGCAAAUAGGGACCUGAGAGGCAGACGAGGGGCUCUUCAAAGUUCUCAUCAUAGUGUACAGAAUAUCAGAAGUCAGAAAGGGGUUAUCUUGGAAUAGAGGGGUUAUAUCUAUUUUCAAUUUUCUUAUUUUAUUUAAAUAUUUUAAAUUUUCUAUAAAUAUUUUUAACCUGUUGCCACAGGAGAAGGGAAGUUUAAUUGAAAAAAAAAACCCGUGAAAUACUAAAUGAGGACACAAAGACAUUUCUUCCUCUUGUCUAGUGAUUUUCUCCAAAUAACUUCUCCAAAAAAAAAAAAUACCUUUUGCAGAAGCCAAGUGCUGUGCCUACGGGAAAGCACUCAUCAUGGCUCUUUAGAGGCAGCCUGUCUGCCUCAGAGCUAGCACUGAGUUUUUGGCUGUGGUGUGGCAUCCACCUAACCAGAUGUAUUCAAAUGUGGCUAUUGAGAUGAUAGCUAGCACCCGUGUCCAGAGACAAAGACAUUGUCACGAGACCGAGGAAGAGGGCAGAAGUCCAUUGACGGCCCGAGAUCGCAUGAGAUGCAUGUGAAGCCGGUGAGGAAUGGUGAUUUCUUUCUCUACCAAUGCUCGUCUUCCCGAGUUUGGAAAACGGGAGUUCAGUCCUGCUCCUCAGGCCUUUCCCACGCCACCACGUGGGGCUAAGUGACUUCAGAAGGAAGAGAGAAGCCUCAAUCCAGCAUCUUGAUGCGAUGGGCAGCUUCAGGCAUGUUGUUCUGAGCCUUGUGAGGAAUCAACCAUACUGAAGUGCUUUACUCUGUGAAGCUAAGUCAAGACUUGCACCAACUGCGGAUGGAUACAGACACUGCCAUGGACACAAAGUCGCCCCAUCAGGAAGUAAGAAGCUAGAGGUUUCCCCAAACUCUCCAAGAUGCUAAGGUGCUAGCAGCUCAGUUGGCCAUUGGAACAUACCUCUCACAGAAAUAGUCCGACCCAGGAAACCAAGGGCGGAGUGUAAAGUUAACUGGCCAGUCUUGGGCACUGCUUUCCUGCAGAGCAGGUGUCAGCGUGACUGUACCUGACUGUGUAUCCUAGUGAAGGGGUAGGUGUGAAAAUCCUACCCCGUCUGUCUCCAGAGCAGG